rnacentral:tRNA from 1 species
GGGAAAGUAGCUCAGUGAUAGAGUGCUUGCCUUGCAUGCAUGAGGCUCUGGGUUCGAUUCCUCAGUACCA